UAACUCAGUGGUACAGUGCAUGCUUAGCAUGCAUGAGGUCCUGGGUUCAAUCCCCAG
rnacentral:tRNA from 1 species